ACUCCUACGGGAGGCAGCAGUGGGGAAUAUUGGACAAUGGGCGCAAGCCUGAUCCAGCCAUGCCGCGUGAGUGAUGAAGGCCCUAGGGUUGUAAAGCUCUUUCACCGGUGAAGAUAAUGACGGUAACCGGAGAAGAAGCCCCGGCUAACUUCGUGCCAGCAGCCGCGGUAAUACGAAGGGGGCUAGCGUUGUUCGGAUUUACUGGGCGUAAAGCGCACGUAGGCGGACUAUUAAGUCAGGGGUGAAAUCCCGGGGCUCAACCCCGGAACUGCCUUUGAUACUGGUAGUCUUGAGUUCGAGAGAGGUGAGUGGAAUUCCGAGUGUAGAGGUGAAAUUCGUAGAUAUUCGGAGGAACACCAGUGGCGAAGGCGGCUCACUGGCUCGAUACUGACGCUGAGGUGCGAAAGCGUGGGGAGCAAACAGGAUGAGAAACCCUUGUAGUCCCAUGA
rnacentral:rRNA from 1 species